CCUACGGGAGGCAGCAGUGAGGAAUAUUGGACAAUGGUCGAAAGACUGAUCCAGCCAUGCCGCGUGCAGGAAGACGGCCCUAUGGGUUGUAAACUGCUUUUGUUUGGGAAGAAACCUUUCUACGUGUAGAAAGCUGACGGUACCAUACGAAUAAGCACCGGCUAACUCCGUGCCAGCAGCCGCGGUAAUACGGAGGGUGCAAGCGUUAUCCGGAUUUAUUGGGUUUAAAGGGUCCGUAGGCGGACUUAUAAGUCAGUGGUGAAAUCCUGCAGCUCAACUGUAGAACUGCCAUUGAUACUGUAAGUCUUGAAUUCGGUUNAAGUGGGCGAAUAUGGCAUGUAGNGUGA
rnacentral:rRNA from 1 species